AAUAAAAAUUAAAAGCUAGUUUCAAACUCGGUGUUGGCCAGCCCAAACUCCAAAGUCCAAACUAUUAGGAUGACCCCAUAGGCAGUUCUCCGUACCGUACAAACAGAAGAUGAUAGCCAAAAAGUUCAGUGCGUGGGAUCUGUUUCAAAGAGAUGAAGAGUCAUACCACACCACAAGGCGAUUCCUAAUCCUAUUCUUCAUGAUCAUGUCCCUAUAGCACUACCGAAAUACAGUAGCUACUACCAGUACUAGUAGAGCUAGUACUGUGAACUGUGAAGUGGAACACAUGUAUAAGUUCUACUAUGGUUCUGGGUGGGUUUUAGUAAGAAAUUUUUGCUGUACAAUCAGAAGAACAAUGUUGCGUAUGAUGGAGCUCACUUGUUGGAACAAUGCAUGGACCAAAUAGAAAAAUUUAAGCAUUGAAGAGUGGUGAGUUCAAAUAUGUUAUUGUUGGUAAUGGAGUUGCAAUAUGUUUUAAAAAAAAAUUGCAUGUGAAUAUUAGCAUUUUCAUGAGUUCAUAAACCUUUUCCAUUGUGGGGGUGUGUGUGUAUAUUUUCGCUUUUUUGGGUUAGGGUAGUGUUUGUUGAUUAUAGGACUGGAUUUGGUGUAUUGGUUAAUGCUGUUAAUACCCUACAACCAAAACAAGUUUAUGAAUUAAAUAUUGCAUUAUUAACAAAGAUCAAACUGUAUAGCCACCUUGACUUUUUCCUAUUUUCCGUUUGAGAUAAUGUAGCUCUCAAACAUUUAGAUACAUUUAAAAUCCUAAAUCAGGUUGUAUGGUCGUUGGACAUAAUCUUUCACGUAAAGGUCGAUUUACAGAAUGAGUCAUCAAGAGAGUCAUUAGGCUCUUGUUGAAGGCAUACAUAUCAUCAAUGGGAAUCCAAGAUGGAUAUGAUCAUCUAUAGGGUGCUCAAUGAUGUUAGGGCAAAGCAAAGAUACUUGGAUACCCACUCUUGCAAAAGCUAAGAGCUGGGAAUUUGAUCAAAUCUCUGAGUUGGCAAUGCCUUACAAGUUGUUGCUUUUGCUGGCCGACAACUAUUUUUUUCCAGAGGGAGCAAAGAUGCGCCUGAAUUAUCAGUGCAAAGUAGCAAGUGCAUAGCUGAAAAUGGUGUCAAAUUAACAACCAUUGCCUAGACUAGAGAGAGUUAUGCAGAUGCUCAUGGUUGAUUGGCCGGAGUUAAUUAUACAAGUAGAAAACUUUAGAUAAUCAAAGUUGUAAUCAAGUAGAUGAAUUCAUGCUGCGGCAGGCCGCGUCCCACUUUGUAUUAAGUUGAUUAUUCUUCAUAAUCUUAAUAUUCUGUGCUUAGAAUAAAC